UACGUAGGUGGCAAGCGUUAUCCGGAAUUACUGGGCGUAAAGCGCACGCAGGCGGUCUUUUAAGUUUGACGUGAAAGCUCCCGGCUCAACUGGGAGAGGUCCUUGGAUACUGGCAGACUUGAGGAGAGUAGAGGAGAGUGGGAUUCCCGGUGUAGUGGUGAUAUGCGUAGAUAUCGGGAGGAACACCAGUGGCGAAGGCGGCUCUCUGGGCUCUACCUGACGCUGAGACGCGAAAGCGUGGGGAGCGAACCGG
rnacentral:rRNA from 1 species